rnacentral:rRNA from 1 species
GAUGAACGCUGGCGGCGUGCCUAAUACAUGCAAGUCGAGCGAACGGACGAGAAGCUUGCUUCCUUGAUGUUAGCGGCGGACGGGUGAGUAACACGUGGAUAACCUACCUAUAAUACUGGGAUAACUUCGGGAAACCGGAGAUAAUACUGGCUAAUAUUUUGAACCGCAUGGUUCAAAAGUGAAAGACGGUCUUGCUGUCACUUAUAGAUGGAUCCGCGCUGGAUUAGCUAGUUGGUAAGGUAACGGCUUACCAAGGCAACGAUGCAUAGCCGACCUGAGAGGAUGAUCGGCCACACUGGAACUGAGACACGGUCCAGACUCCUACGGGAGGCAGCAGUAGGGAAUCUUCCACAAUGGGCGAAAGCCUGACGGAGCAACGCCGCGUGAGUGAUGAAGGUCUUCGGAUCGUAAAACUCUGUUAUUAGGAAAGAACAUAUGUGUAAGUAACUGUGCACAUCUUGACGGUACCUAAUCAGAAAGCCACGGCUAACUACGUG